rnacentral:rRNA from 1 species
AGAAUCAACGCUGGCGGCGUGCCUAACACAUGCAAGUCGCACGAGAAAGGGGAGCAAUCCCUGAGUACAGUGGCGCACGGGUGAGUAACACGUGAAUAAUCUACCUCCGAGUGGGGAAUAACUGAGAGAAAUCUUAGCUAAUACCGCAUAAUACCCACGGGUCAAAGCAGCAAUGCGCUUGGAGAGGAGUUCGCGGCAGAUUAGUUAGUUGGCGGGGUAAUGGCCCACCAAGACGAUGAUCUGUAUCCGGCCUGAGAGGGCGCACGGACACACUGGAACUGAAACACGGUCCAGACUCCUACGGGAGGCAGCAGUGGGGAAUUUUGCGCAAUGGGGGAAACCCUGACGCAGCAACGCCGCGUGGAGGAUGAAGCCCCUUGGGGUGUAAACUCCUUUCGAUCGGGAAGAUAAUGACGGUACCGAUAUAAGAAGCCCCGGCUAACUACGUGCCAGCAGCCGC